rnacentral:sRNA from 1 species
UCAUUCAAAUUUCAGAUAUCACAACAAUGAGAUCUCUUUUGCUACCAGUUUUGCUUGGAAUAAUUCAACUAGCGGUUUCAGGUCGCAGUUGGCCGCACCUGCCAGUAGUUGGUCUAGUUGUGUAGAAUUUUGUAUUUCACAAUAGAAUGUCUACAUAAAAAUAUAUCUGAACAUUGCAAGAAUUGCGUAUUCCUUUAGAAUUUAUGUGUGCUUAAUUCGUAGCUGUGAUAAGCUUAAGAUUUAGUACAUAUAUAUGUAAAAAUAAAUGGGUUAGGCAUCUAUAAGAAAGGCUUAUACCAUUGCGAAUAUGCAUAUCAAUUGAAUUAGCUACUGUUUUCUAUAGGCAGCUUUAGAUAUGGCUGUGGAUCGAACUAGUUUUGCAUAUUCAAUGACCUUUCAUAUAAAGAUUGGACUUCAGCAAUUUGUUGGCGGAGUCAUUCGCUGGUUCUCACAGACGUGUUAACAUGCAAAUUGAUAUGUGAACAGUGACAAUACAUAAAUCCAUAUUAUUGAUGAUAUAUAUG